ensembl:snRNA U6 U6 spliceosomal RNA
GUGCUUGCUUGGGCAGCUCAUCUCCUAAAACUGGACAACACAGAGAAGAUUUGCAUGGUUCCUACACAAAGAUGACGUACAAAUUUGUGAAGUGUUCUGUAAUUUU